UACGUAGGGACCAAGCGUUGUCCGGAAUCAUUGGGCGUAAAGCGCGCGUAGGUGGCCAUUUAAGUCCGGUGUGAAAGUCAAAGGCUCAACCUUUGAAUGCCGCUGGAUACUGCCUGACUUGAGUCCGGAAGGGGCGAGUGGAAUUCCUGAUGUAGCGGUGAAAUUCGUAGAUAUCGAGAGGAACACCGGUGGCGAAGGCGGCCUUCUGGACAGCAACUGACGCUGAGACGCGAAAGCGUGGGGAGCAAACAGG
rnacentral:rRNA from 1 species